GCGUGCGUGAAGAAGGCCUUAGGGUUGUAAAGCGCUUUCGGCGGGGAAGAUGAUGACGGUACCCGCAGAAGAAGCCCCGGCUAACUCCGUGCCAGCAGCCGCGGUAAUACGGAGGGGGCAAGCGUUGUUCGGAAUUACUGGGCGUAAAGAGCGCGUAGGCGGCGAGAUCAGUCAGGCGUGAAAGCCCCGGGCUCAACCUGGGAGGUGCGCUUGAUACUGUCUUGCUGGAGUCCGGGAGGGGAUGGCGGAAUUCCCAGUGUAGAGGUGAAAUUCGU
rnacentral:rRNA from 1 species